GGGCAAAUCAUUUCAGCCUCCCCCAAUCGUUUCCAUCUAUAUUCUCGUUCUCAGAUCUGAACUAGCCCUCUCUCUCUCUCUCUCUCUCUGCAACUGCAAACUACAAAAUCUAGAAGAAUCAGAAGUUCAAAACCCAUCUAUUUCAGUUUAUCUAUCUGUCUGCAAGAAUCAAAAGUUAAAAACCCAUAUCGGCAUAUCAUUUCAUAUUGUUCAAAAGAAUCAAAACCCGUAUCUUUCAGUUUCCAUCGCCCGCUGUUCCAGUUCGGGUUAGCCGUUCGCAAGCUUCAGCCGCUGGCCCGCCGUUUCCCUGAGGGUUAGCAUCGGACCUUAACAUUUAGCAAGAACAAGGUUCAAGAAACAUGCCUUCUCAGUCAUCCGGUCUCUUUUUUUAAAGAAGAGAGUUGAUUGGGAUUGGGUGGAGUUGGCAAAUAUAGCUUUGUAUGUGGUUGUCGAGUUUGGUCGUGGAGAUCAUAUAUGCUGCUCUGGAACAUGUGGCUAAGGAGCUUUUGGAUUUUCUUUCCUGUUUCUAUGGUGCGUUGAGGGUUCGUGGUGAGCACGUAGCAUGACACGGACUGGAUUCAUGUAUCGCGCUGUUGAGGGUCAGGAGAGGCUCCACUACGGAUCAUUGAUACAAUAUUUCCACCUGGUCCAGUCGAAGUUGCACCUCUUCCAGACGUACCACCACCUCCAGUCGACAGUCACGUCCCACAACCACCUCCUCCGGUCGACGGUCACGUCCCACAACCAUCACGUCCCACAACCACCUCCCCCGAUCGAUGGUCACGUCCCACAACCACCUCCUCCGGUCGUCGGUCACGUCCCACGUACACCUCCUCCAAACGUCGGUCAUGUCCCACCACCUCCAGAGCCCGCCCAACUCGUACCUGCCAUCGACCGCCAUCGACCGUCAACUUUCCCAGUUGGCUUUUGAGGUUUCGCAGAAACGUGAAAAGCCGCCAUGGCAUCGAGCUUUUUUUGGGGUUCUUGAUUUUGUUCGUAAAAACCACAUAUGCUGCUCUGGAGCAUUUCGUCAAGGACUCACAUAAGAUAAUAUUAGCUUUUGGGUUUUCUUUACUGUGUCUCUGGAUUGUGUUUGACUGAAUUUGCGUUGAGGGCUCGUGACAUGGACACAGACUGGAUUCUAGUAUCGCGCUGUUGAGGGUCAGGAGAGGCUCUACUACGGAUCAUUGAUACAAUAUUUAGGAAUCUUCUUUGCUGUGAGGCACUUGUGUAUGUCUUUGGCAGACCUGAUAAUGAAGGUUCAAAGGAAAAAGACUCAGCGUCACUUUUCAGUAUUUCCUCUGAUAGGUGUUACGAUACACAUGCUUCUUGUGACUCUCGGUCACAGUGGCCGCCAUGGCGAGGACCCACCUGUUUGGCUUUUGGCUCAUUGACAUUGGCGAGGAAUAGUAGCUAUAUGUUUACUUUGUUUAGUUGUUUAUGUACAUACUCUUUGAAACUCUUAUAUGUUUGAAGCUAUUUCUUUAAUUUGGUACACUGUUAGAAACUCUUAUAUGCAUGCAACUAUGACAUAUUAUUCUGUUGUAAA